GCAAGCUGGUCGUGCUGUGUGUUCAAACAUGAAGAUGAAGCCGAUUUCGAGGGAAUCUUUCAACGUGCUAGCCAGUAAAGAUUUGUGUUGGAUAUGUUCCUGUUUCUUCAGAAGCCAAGGCUUCCUAGUGGCCACGUUGCAUUUUGAGGUAUAUACUUUGAUGAUUGGAAUUUACCCUCUUCGAUAGCCAAGGUUCAAAUAACUCAAACAAGCUGCAUUGCUGACCUUUUUGUCUCUGGUAGAAGAACACGAAUGUUGGCUUUGUUUUAUUUUGAAAUCCCCGUUGGCAGAUAUAGACAGAGCCACAGCAUCGGCAUUGCAAAUCCUACUAUCACAUUUGUUAGGAGAUGCUGGCAGGCUAAUAUUGUGGGUUUGGCAUUUCUUUCUUCAUCAUUCAUGGUAACCGACUGAAUACAAAUUUAAACAAUUCAAACAAACUGCAUUGCUGACUUUUUUGUCCCUGGAAGAAGAACACAAAUGUUGGCUUUGUUUCUUUUGAAAUCCCUGUUGGCAGUGGUCUCUCAAGAUGUUGUUGGUUCAAAAGUAUCUUCUGCAUUUAGUGGUGACAAUUAUUUUAUAAUAGAGAAAACACAGGGGGCAAAUUGAAAAGACUCAGGGUGAUAUCGUUGCAGACAAGGAUGUUAUCAUUCGUCGUUCAUGGUUGAAUGAUGUGGAACAUAUGUUACGCUGAUACAGACAGAGCCACAGCAUGGGCUUGCAAAUCUUGCUAUCAUAUUUGUUAGGAGAUGCUGGCAGCCUUAUAUUGUGGGUUUGAUAUGUAAUAUAUAAUUUGUUGUGCCUAAUAAAGCUAUGAA
rnacentral:lncRNA from 1 species